ACCCUCUCAGGGUCUCACCUGGUGAGUUUCCAGUACUCUACCAGUCUUGACUAGGAGAGGCAGAGUCAAGCGGAGACAUUCCCAUUCCAUUCCUAGCUUGGGCAGUGGCUAGCGAGUGGAAAGCAACCUGCUACAAGU